UACGUAGGGGGCAAGCGUUGUCCGGAAUCAUUGGGCGUAAAGCGCGUGUAGGCGGUCCGGUAAGUCCGCUGUGAAAGUCGGGGGCUCAACCCUCGGAUGCCGGUGGAUACUGUCGGGCUUGAGUACGGAAGAGGCGAGUGGAAUUCCUGGUGUAGCGGUGAAAUGCGCAGAUAUCGGGAGGAACACCAAUGGCGAAGGCAGCUCGCUGGGACGUUACUGACGCUGAGACGCGAAAGCGUGGGGAGCAAACAGG
rnacentral:rRNA from 1 species